rnacentral:rRNA from 1 species
UACGUAGGGUGCGAGCGUUGUCCGGAAUUACUGGGCGUAAAGAGCUCGUAGGCGGUCUGUCGCGUCGGCUGUGAAAACUCGGGGCUCAACUCCGAGCUUGCAGUCGAUACGGGCAGGCUAGAGUUCGGCAGGGGAGACUGGAAUUCCUGGUGUAGCGGUGAAAUGCGCAGAUAUCAGGAGGAACACCGGUGGCGAAGGCGGGGGUCUCUGGGCCGAUACUGACGCUGAGGAGCGAAAGCGUGGGGGGAGCGAACAGG